rnacentral:rRNA from 1 species
CCAAGGAGUCUAACAUGUGCGCGAGUCGUAGGGUUACGCUCAAAGCCCGAAGGCGCAAUGAAAGUGAAGGUCGGCCUCGAUUGCCGUUUACCUAGGCGGGAUCCGUUCGGGCUUACCGGUCGUUCGCGGCUGAGCCCGGCGGCGCACCGCCGGCCCGUCUCGACCGCAUCGCCGGUGAGGCGGAGCGAGAGCGUACACGUUGGGACCCGAAAGAUGGUGAACUAUGCCCGGGCAGGACGAAGCCAGAGGAAACUCUGGUGGAGGUCCGUAGCGAUUCUGACGUGCAAAUCGAUCGUCGGACCUGGGUAUAGGGGCGAAAGACUAAUCGAACCAUCUAGUAGCUGGUUCCCUCCGAAGUUUCCCUCAGGAUAGCUGGUGCUCGAGGAGGGCAGUCUCAUCCGGUAAAGCGAAUGAUUAGAGGCCUUGGGGCCGAAACGACCUCAACCUAUUCUCAAACUUUCAAUGGGUGAGAAGUCCGGCUUGCUUGACUGAAGCCCGGACGUCGG